rnacentral:rRNA from 1 species
GACGAACGCUGGCGGCGCGCCUAACACAUGCAAGUCGAACGGAGCUUAGAGAGCUUGCUUUUUAAGCUUAGUGGCGAACGGGUGAGUAACGCGUGAGUAACCUGCCCUAGAGUGGGGGACAACAGUUGGAAACGACUGCUAAUACCGCAUAAGCCCACGGUACCGCAUGGUACUGAGGGAAAAGGAUUUAUUCGCUUUAGGAUGGACUCGCGUCCAAUUAGCUAGUUGGUGAGGUAACGGCCCACCAAGGCGACGAUUGGUAGCCGGACUGAGAGGCUGAACGGCCACAUUGGGACUGAGACACGGCCCAGACUCCUACGGGAGGCAGCAGUGGGGGAUAUUGCACAAUGGGGGAAACCCUGAUGCAGCGACGCCGCGUGGAGGAAGAAGGUUUUCGGAUUGUAAACUCCUGUCGUUAGGGACGAUAAUGA